rnacentral:rRNA from 1 species
GCAAAACGCGAAGAACCUUACCAGGCCUUGACAUGCAGAGAACUUUCCAGAGAUGGAUUGGUGCCUUCGGGAACUCUGACACAGGUGCUGCAUGGCUGUCGUCAGCUCGUGUCGUGAGAUGUUGGGUUAAGUCCGUAACGAGCGCGAACCCUUGUCCUUAGUUACCAGCACGUUAUGGUGGGCACUCUAAGGAGACUGCCGGUGACAAACCGGAGGAAGGUGGGGAUGACGUCAAAUCAUCAUGGCCCUUACGGCCUGGGCUACACACGUGCUACAAUGGUCGGUACAGAGGGUUGCCAAGCCGCGAGGUGGAGCUAAUCUCACAAAACCGAUCGUAGUCCGGAUCGCAGUCUGCGAACUCGACUGCGUGAAGUCGGAAUCGCUAGUAAUCGCGAAUCAGAAUGUCGCGGUGAAUACGUUCCCGGGUCUUGUACACACCGAGUCGUGGGAGGCAAGGGCGACACAGGGGGGGGAUA